rnacentral:rRNA from 1 species
UACGUAGGGUGCGAGCGUUAAUCGGAAUUACUGGGCGUAAAGCGUGCGCAGGCGGUUUUGUAAGCCAGAUGUGAAAUCCCCGGGCUUAACCUGGGAAUGGCAUUUGGGACUGCAAGGCUUGAGUGCGGCAGAGGAGACUGGAAUUCCUGGUGUAGCAGUGAAAUGCGUAGAUAUCAGGAGGAAUACCGAUGGCGAAGGCAGGUCUCUGGGACGGUACUGAGCUGAGACGCGAAAGCGUGGGGAGCGAACGGG